rnacentral:rRNA from 1 species
GAUGAACGCUGGCGGCGUGCCUAAUACAUGCAAGUCGAGCGAACGGACGAGAAGCUUGCUUCUCUGAUGUUAGCGGCGGACGGGUGAGUAACACGUGGAUAACCUACCUAUAAGACUGGGAUAACUUCGGGAAACCGGAGCUAAUACCGGAUAAUAUUUUGAACCGCAUGGUUCAAAAGUAAAAGACGGUCUUGCUGUCACUUAUAGAUGGAUCCGCGCUGCAUUAGCUAGUUGGUAAGGUAACGGCUUACCAAGGCAACGAUGCAUAGCCGACCUGAGAGGCUGAUCGGCCACACUGGAACUGAGACACGGUCCAGACUCCUACGGGAGGCAGCAGUAGGGAAUCUUCCGCAAUGGGCGAAAGCCUGACGGAGCAACGCCGCGUGAGUGAUGAAGGUCUUCGGAUCGUAAAACUCUGUUAUUAGGGAAGAACAUAUGUGUAAGUAACUGUGCACAUCUUGACGGUACCUAAUCAGAAAGCCACGGCUAACUACGUG